AUGCCUGGCGGCUACUCCUCGAUGAUUCACGUUCUUCUUCUCCUUGCACUAUUUCCACUCGCUGCAGCCCAGCUGUGGCCGUUCUGCGGCAGCGGCCAAGGCACCUACUCGACAGGCAGCACAUACCAGACCAACCUUCGAACACUCCUCGGCACGCUCCGCGGGAACGCCUCCUCCUCGCCGUCUCGCUUUGCCUCGGGCAACUUCGGGGCCGUACCGGACACUGCCUGGGCUCUGGUUCUCUGCCGGGGCGACAUCAGCGUCACCGACUGCUUCGACUGCGUCACCACGGCCAGUAGGGACGCGGAGAGAGCCUGCAACCGCAGCAGGGACGUGGGCCUCUUCUACAACGAGUGA
rnacentral:rRNA from 1 species